UGUUCUGUGGCGAAGUUGGUCAACGCGCCCUGUCUAGCAAAUCAGGGAGUCAUGUGUUCAAAUCCCACCAGAGCUA
rnacentral:tRNA from 1 species